AUACGUAGGGGGCGAGCGUUGUCCGGAAUUACUGGGCGUAAAGGGUGCGUAGGUGGCCUUUAAGUUGGAUGUGAAUACCCGGGCUUAACCUGGGGGUGCAUCUAAUACUGGGAGGCUAGAGUGCAGGAGAGGAAAGCGGAAUUCCUAGUGUAGCGGUGAAAUGCGUAGAUAUUAGGAGGAACACCAGUGGCGAAGGCGGCUUUCUGGACAGUAACUGACGCUGAGGCGCGAAAGCGUGGGGAGC
rnacentral:rRNA from 1 species